UAGCCUUGACAUUGAAGAAAUAGACCAGAGAUGGACUAGUGCCCUUCGGGGAAUCUGAAAACAGGUGCUGCACGGCUGUCGUCAGCUCGUGUCGUGAGAUGUUGGGUUAAGUCCCGCAACGAGCGCAACCCUCGUCCUUAGUUGCUAGCAGUUCGGCUGAGCACUCUAAGGAGACUGCCUUCGUAAGGAGGAGGAAGGUGAGGACGACGUCAAGUCAUCAUGGCCCUUAUGGCUAGGGCUACACACGUGCUACAAUGGGGCGUACAGAGUGUUGCGAUACCGCGAGGUGGAGCUAAUCACUUAAAGCGUCUCUCAGUUCGGAUUGGAGUCUGCAACUCGACUCCAUGAAGCUGGAAUCACUAGUAAUCGUAGAUCAGCAAUGCUACGGUGAAUACGUUCCCGGGUCU
rnacentral:rRNA from 1 species